rnacentral:rRNA from 1 species
UACGUAGGGUGCGAGCGUUAAUCGGAAUUACUGGGCGUAAAGUGUGCGCAGGCGACCGAGCAAGUCGAGUGUGAAAGCCCCGAGCUUAACUUGGGAACUGCGCUCGAAACUACUUGGCUAGAGUGUGGCAGAGGGAGGUGGAAUUCCACGUGUAGCGGUGAAAUGCGUAGAGAUGUGGAGGAACACCGAUGGCGAAGGCAGCCUCCUGGGCCAACACUGACGCUCAUGCACGAAAGCGUGGGGAGCAAACAGG